rnacentral:rRNA from 1 species
GACGAACGCUGGCGGCAUGCUUAACACAUGCAAGUCGAACGGAAAGUCCCUGUUUAGUGGCUCCCCGGUUCGUGAACGGUUGGAACAUGCGUUUAGGUUCGGAACAGCACCUCGAAAUGGGCGCUGGAAACUGGUACUAUUAUCGGACCAAAGACUUAUUGCCUUUGGUUGGGGCCGAGUUUGUUUGGUUUGUUGGUAGGGCAAAAGCCUACAAAGGCGACGAUCCGUAGCUGGUCGGAGAGGAUGAUCAGCCACACUGGGACGGAGACACGGCCCAGACGCGUACGGGAGGCAGCAGUGAGGAAUAUUGGACAAUGGGCGAAAGCCUGAUCCAGCAAUGCCGCGUGAGUGAUGAAGGCCUUAGGGUUGUAAAGCUCUUUUACCCGGGAUGAUAAUGACAGUACCGGGAUAAUAAGCUCCGGCUAACUCCGUG